rnacentral:rRNA from 1 species
GUAGAUGCUAGUCUCUAAGAUUAAGCCAUGCAUGUCUAUGUAACAAGGACGAACAGCUCAGUACAACUGCGAUGAUUUAGUCUGUCUGUGUGCGAUAACUACGUGAAAAUGUAGCUAAGAGGGGACAGAAUAAGACGCAGGACUAUCAGUUAGUUGGUAGUGUAAUGGACUACCAAGACGAUGACGGUUGACGGGGAAUCAGGGUUCUGUACCGGAGAGGGAGCCUGAGAGAUUGCUCCCACGUCCAAGGACGGCAGCAGGCGCGAAAAUUGCCCACUGUUUGUAGGAGGCAGUUAUGAGACGUGAAGAUGAGUGCUUGGCAAAGAGAAGCAGGAGAAUUGGAGGGCAAGUUUGGUGCCAGCAGCCGCGG